UGGAAUGUAGCUCAGUUGGAAGAGCGGAGGGCGCAUAGUCCUUGACGUCGGUGGUUCGAGUCCACCCUUUCCGA
rnacentral:tRNA from 1 species